GUGCACACGCGAGUAUAGUGGGGUCAAUCAAUAUGCGUUUCUUGAAGUUUAGCUAUUAAAACGCGAAGCAGUCAUUCUGAAACCAAAACUCCUGACAAAAAUUGAGCUACUCCCUAAACUAGAUUCCUUGAGCGACUUUUCUGGAAUUCCCCUGUGUUCAUGUAGUUUGUGUGAGUUUAUUUGUAUAUUUGAAAAGGCUCAAGUACAACGAAAUGUUUACAUAGAGACUCCGAUAGCCAGUCUCUGUCUUACGUAAAGGAGAGUUUAACAGACAACAGUUGCGCCAUCUUGCCACCUGCUGUUUUCCUGCCCAGCCAGAGGCCCAGGCCGCUGGGGCACACCGACAGCCACAAGCCGCUUUCUUUUUUUGACUGGGCUGUGAAUCCUCAGCUGGCUGUUUAAUCUACUGAUUUGUCCUCUCCUCUAGUCGAGGGGACAGGCGGCCAUUAGUGCUCUGUAAUUAAGCCGUCAGAGGAGGCAGGGUGCUCAAUUUACGGUGCUCGCCUCGCUUCUCAUUUUCUCGCCCGCACACCAGCAUCACAGUGUGUGUGAACCCUGUGGCCCGAACACUGAACCUCCCUGACAGGCAGAGAGACAGGACAGGAGUGCAGACAGAGGAGAGUAUUGAAUGAUCAUGCCCCAGGGUUUGGAGACAGUGGUGCGCUCUGGAGGCUUGGACAGCGCUGUUAAUCACAGGUUCAUGAAAGACAGAGCACACAGCAUGAGAUGGCAAGAUGGCCUGCGUGAAUACCAUGAUCUAACAGCUCGGCUCUCCUGGAUAAAGUGGGAUUAACUCAGGACGCCAAUGGCAGCAUCACACCAAGGACUGAGUGACAUCUGCAGACUUCUCACCAGCCCCAGCACAUCCCUCUGCAGCCAUCCUCGCCUCUCACAGCUUUUGAAUAUUCUAAUGUGUUGUCAAUUGGUAAUUGAGUGCUAGUGUUUUUCUGGAGUAGCCCAUUAUUUUACUGUGAAUGAGGGACCGGGGCCAGGCUGAAGCCUAUAAGGAUGGGACUUAUCACAGAGGAGAGAAGCAGACUGGCAUGAAAUUGAAUUUACCUUGGUCAAACAAACUAUUUUUCCUUGUCUUUUGAAUAGUAUGGAGUGUAAUAAUGAAGUGCCUCAGUGGUCAUUUGAUACCAUUUGCUGUUGCUCCAUUGACACUUUCACAACUGUCAUGAUGAUGUAAACUAGAUUGCGUGUGACACCCAACUUCAACAUAACUUAA